GUAAGCGGCGGAAAAGAAACUAAAUAGGAUUCCCUCAGUAAUGGCGAAUGAACAGGGAAGAGCUCAGUAUGGUAAUCGGGGCCCUAGGCCUUGAAUUGUAGUCUUUCGAGGUUGUACCAACGGAGCCGCAGAUGUAAGCCUCUUGGAAAAGAGCAUCGUCGAGGGUGAGAGUCCCGUCUGCCAUCUGCAGUUCUCCGUGUACGGUGCGCCUUCUACGAGUCACGUUCCUCGGGAUUGGAGCGCAAAGUGGGUGGUAAAUUUCAUCUAAAGCUAAAUAUUGGUUCGAGACCGAUAGGAAACAAGUACCAUGAGGGAAAGGUGAAAAGGACUUUGAAAAGAGAGUUAAAAGUGCCUGAAAUCGCUGAAAGGGAACCGAAUGGAACCAGUCCUUCUUGGUGUGAUUGUUGCGUGCUAAGGCGAUGGCUCGUUGCGUCAGCGCAAGCGUCGUAAUGGGUUCUGAGCUCGAUGUGCGUGGUGUUUCUCACCUUGAGUGUCAACGUCGGUUCGGGAUUGAGGAAAACCUCUUCGAGAUUGGUAGUUCUCCUGCGGGAGAAUGACGACUCGGGGCUGGAACUCUUUAUCGGACCGUCCUCAGCGUGCAGAGCUCCUGCGGCGUGACCUCGUUUGGCAGUUGUUGGGGCCUUCGUGCUUCGGUAGCUGUCGGGCUAGCUCCGCGUCGCUGCCUCUGUUCCAAGACGUUGACGAAAUGGUUUCAUCCGACCCGUCUUGA
rnacentral:rRNA from 1 species